UACGGGGGGUGCAAGCGUUGUUCGGAAUUAUUGGGCGUAAAGCGCACGUAGGCGGACUUGUAAGUCAAUUGUGAAAGCCCUGGGCUUAACCUGGGAAUUGCAGUUGAAACUGCAAGCCUUGAAUACUUGAGAGGAUGACGGAAUUCCUGGUGUAGAAGUGAAAUUCGUAGAUAUCAGGAGGAACACCCGAGGCGAAGGCGGUUAUCUGGCAAAGUAUUGACGCUGAGGUGCGAAAGCGUGGGUAGCAAACAGG
rnacentral:rRNA from 1 species